rnacentral:sRNA from 1 species
UGGUACAAGUGUCAAAAGCAUUAAAAUUCGAGAGGGGCUUGCUUGCAAAAGAAUUUUACAUCUUUUGACGCGCAAACAAUAUGAAUAAGCAGCCAUUUUUCGAAGAAAAAUGAGUGGAUUAUGAAUAUUGUUGCAAGGACCCCUGAGGCAUAAGCCGUAGCAAUCCUGUAUCA